CUCACUGAUACCCACGGGUAAGCCCGUGGGGUUGCGGUAAAAGCCGUAACCCUUUGUGAGUAGCCUGAGUCUUUCGGGAGACUACGUUAAGAGAGAAUAUACAGGCACUUCGGGAUGUAGUACCAAGUCCCGAACACUGCG
rnacentral:sRNA from 17 species